AUUGAACGCUGGCGGCAUGCCUUACGCAUGCAAGUCGAACGGUAACGCGGGGCAACCUGGCGACGAGUGGCGAACGGGUGAGUAAUGCAUCGGAACGUGCCCAGUAGUGGGGGAUAGCCCGGCGAAAGCCGGAUUAAUACCGCAUACGACCUAUGGGUGAAAGCGGGGGACCGUAAGGCCUCGCGCUAUUGGAGCGGCCGAUGUCAGAUUAGGUUGUUGGUGGGGUAAAAGCCUACCAAGCCGACGAUCUGUAGCUGGUCUGAGAGGACGACCACCCACAGGGGGACGGAGACACGGCCCGGACUCCUACGGGGGGCAGAGGGGGGGAAUUUGGGAAAAGGGGGGCAACCCUGGUCCAGCCAGCCGGCGGGCGGGAAGAAGGCCUUGGGGUUGUAACCCGUUUUUGUCAGGGAAAAAACGCUCUGAUUUAAUACCUCGGGGUAAUGACGGUACCUGAAGAAUAAGCACCGGCUAACUACGUGCCACCCGCCGGGGUAA
rnacentral:rRNA from 1 species